rnacentral:lncRNA from 1 species
AAACAUGCUGCAGUCUCUGCUCAUCUUUGAAGGUGCUGCCUUGCUUGCUUGCUUGCUUACUCUGAAAUUCUGCAGGAAGCCCCACAUGGAUUCUGGUGCUGUACAAGCCUCUCAGAACACCUCAACAGAUUGCACAGGGAAAGGAGGAGGCAGGAGAGAUGCACACUCCCCCAGAUGGAGAAACCUGCACUUGGCCAGAGCACUAUUUCCUGAGUGUGACAUGUUUGUUGCUGUGCCAGAAGACCAAUUUAGAUUACACUGCUGGGUGAAACAACAGAAAGGUAAGAAUCUGAGGUUAGUUUGGAUCAGCAAACAGAUUUCAAAACAUAAUUUGAGCUAUUAUGACUUCUCAUGUCCGCAAAACUCAGGAGGAACCAUCACGAGAAUGGAGUCCAAUGACCUUGCUGAUCAUCAGACUUUUCUAGCAGAUGCUAGAAAACCCCAUUCUUUUCUCAUAUGAAAAUAUUAAGAGAAGUUUUUGUUUACAUUCCAUUUUGGAAAAUACUAGUGGUUUGGAAUUUUUCAUUUUAUCCUAAAACUAUAAAGUUUUAAACCUCUAAUGGAAAUAUUUGAAACUCUAUCUGGGAUUUUAAAACACAGUAGCUUGACUGUCAGCCUAAUACAUCCUGAGGUAUUUACAGCUGAGAUGUAAAAACAAAAAAGUUUUAAUGACCAAUUUCAGAGUCUUUUCUGAAAUUGUUCUUAUGUUGGCUAUAUACAGCCCCAUGGUGUUCUCAUUAAAGGAACUGACUUAACUGAAAAUUUUACUUUGAACCAAUUUAUUUUCUCCUGCUUAAACUUGAAAAAUUAUUAGUAAAAUCUAUGAAGUAUAUGAGUAAAAUAUUACUUAACUGUUUGAGUUAGAGAUUACAUAGUUCUCUGUCCCUCAGAUUAGGUUGUCCCAAAAUCUUUAUAUCCUAUAAUCUCAGUAGUGAUAAAACCUGCUGCAAAUAUUCCUUCUCCAGGCUAGUAAAACAACUUGUUUGUAAUGCAUAAACUGAUUCAUGCUGAAUUAUUAAGUCCUAAAUAAAUGAAAUUGAGUGGUUCCUCCUUUCCUGAAG